rnacentral:rRNA from 1 species
AUUGAACGCUGGCGGCAGGCCUAACACAUGCAAGUCGAACGAGUGGCGGACGGGUGAGUAAUGUCUGGGAAACUGCGUGUUGGAGGGGGAUAACUACUGGAAACGGUAGCUAAUACCGCAUACCAGCAGCUGUGCCCAGAUGGGAGUAGCUAGUCGGUGGGGUAACGGCUCACCUGGGCGACGAACCCUAGCUGGUCUGAGAGGAUGACCAGCCAAACUGGAACUGAGACACGGUCCAGACUCCUACGUGAGGCAGCAGUGGGGAAUAUUGCACAAUGGGCGCAAGCCUGAUGCAGCCAUGCCGCGUGUAUGAAGAAGGCCUUCGGGUUGUAAAGUACUUUCAGCGGGGAGGCGUUACCCGCAGAAGAAGCACCGGCUAACUCCGUGCCAGCAGCCGCGGUAAUAC